ACCAACAUUGUGACCGUGAGACUUUCGAACACCUUGAAUUGCCCUACUGUCCCCAUCGCAAGUAAAAUUGGAUAUUUUAAUGUCCUGUGAGAUCAGGUCUCCCAACACCUCAUUAUAUUUCCCUUCGUCACUUAUCGAUUCCCGCUCGGAAACAUUUGCAGUACAAUGCCCCCUAUGAUUGGGGCACUGAACAGGUUGACCUUUAUUUCUUAGCAUUGAUGAAGUCCUACAGAGUUUAUUUGAAACCAGAACCCCUACAAUUUGUUUGUUUUUGGUGUUAUUUUCGCACAUUGUGCUUAUGGCAAUGGUUCCGGCUUGAAAGGGUGUUGCGUCCGACUUAAAAAUUGGAUUGUUAUAGCAUGUGUCCCCUUCGACAUUGACCAAAGUGGGAUCUUGUUGACCUGUUUUGGCAUUUUCAGCCACCAAGUUUUUUCUUAUGUCGCACAUACUUCUCUCAUUGAGGGAUUUCAUGGCAGUGUUGACCUUGUUGGCUUGUUUUUGCAUACCCAGUGGAGAUGGAGCGAUUAUAUUAGUAGUAUUCAGAACUCUGCGGAAACCUGUGUUCCCAAUAGAUGUGCUAGCAACACCUAUUUGGGACCCUACAUUUAUCUGAGCUGCCUUUCUGCCCCUUGUACUUGAUGGAACCUCAUUGUACAGCUUAUAAUGCAUGCCUACAUAUUUGCAUCUUGUACAUAGUAACCUUUCCCUCCAGCCUAAGCCCCACUUUACGGAAGCACUGCCAUCAAUGACCAAGUCGCCCUUACAUUUAUCACUUCUUAACCUAUGCUUUUUAUUUUCAGAGGACAUCAUUGACUGUAGUAGGGCUGGGACAUAGACCUUGUUCGUAAGUAAGUCAGGAUGAACUUUGGAUGAAGCAGGAACACGUAACAUGUUUACAUAGCGAAUCCUGCUAGCACGCGGACGCAAGGGCUUAGAUUGGGUUUGAGAGCCGUCUACAUCCCGAAAGGUUGGAGACCACAUGAGACUUUGACAUAUGGCGGGAAACCCUCAUGAACUGGAUAGAAGCCGAGCUUAACAUCUUCACGGAGAAUCCUGUGUGUUAGAUCAGUGUGUGACAGG